rnacentral:lncRNA from 1 species
UGGAAAAAAUAAAAUAAAAAGAAAAAUAGUGUAUAGGUUAGUGAAGAGUAUUGUACAAAUAGCUAAUAGUAUUAUACCAAAUAUUCAUUCUUAGAUUUGACAUAUGUACCAUGGCUUUAUAAAAUGAUAGCAACAGGUAAAAGGUAUAUGAUGACCUGCUAUAGUAUCUUCGCAGCUUUUCUGCAAAAAUAAAGUUAUUGUAAAAAAAAAAUUCAAAAAAUGAUGAAAUCAUUUUUAUAAAUUUCUCUUCUUCCCAAGCUUAACUUCAAACUACACAGAGAAAAUGAUUCUGAGAUGACAGUUUUAGUUAACCAAGUUGAUAAAGAAUGAAGACCACAAUCAUAGUACCGAAGGUUGACAACAAUUUAUUUUUUAUUUGAUGAUAUUGAUGAUUCUCAUAUUCUAAAAGUUUGGGAGAAAAUUACGGUGAAUUUUUGCAAGAAUUCAGAGAAUCAGAGGCCUGAAGGGCCAGGAGAGAGAAAAGAGGCAAGAUUUUUUAUUGGGACAUGGAUGAAUCUGGAGAACAUCAUUCUCAGCAAACUGACACAAGAACAGAAAAUGAAACACCGCAUAUUCUCACUCAUAGGUGG